UCAUUACUGGCUUGGAACCAAUAAACAAAAGAUACAUUCAGAAUUCAUUACAAUCAUCAAAUAGACACUGUUUUGUCAUUUGCCAGAAAUGAUUACAAACUUCAAAACUGUCAUGUUCACGCUAGCUUGUUCUCAAGAUACAUGAGUUCCAAAUACUAAUAUACAAAAGCUACUAAUCUGACAAAAGCUACUACUAAUCAAAUUCAACAACACAACCAUCCAAAAGGUGCUGAUUAGCAAAAUUAAUCUAGGUACUGAUUAGCAACAUCCAAAAUGUGCUGAUUAGCUACAUAUCAGUUAGUUAAUGUUGGCUUUUUCUUUGUCAUUGCAAGGUGAAUUUGAACAUCUUUGAUCCUAAAAGAUAUCCCUGUUCCUCCUCGGCCAACUGGUUGACUGCUAUGUACCACAAAAUGCUCUAAGAUCCCAAAAGUUUCAUAUAGGUUUGGUUGAGCAGUAGUGGCAGAAGAUAUUAUAUUGUCAUCACCAGUUGCUGGGUUGUUCUGUGAUGAAUCUAUUUGCUUUGCACUUCGUUUGGUGUCAUUUUCCUGCAAUACAUCAGCAUUUAAUCACUAAAUAUCGAACUCACAAGAAACAAUAACUAAAUGUGCAUUAAGUAAUAAAAUUACAACAUAUUUUCUUGAUAUUUUAGUUCUCCUCUUCUUUGUAUUUGAAGUGUUGCCCCUGACCUACAACAAAGCAUAAAAUGCAUUAGCUGCUACAAUGUUACAGACACAGGUAUAUCCAUUUACACAAAUUACAUGCCUGAGUUAUAGAGUUAUCUACUAUCAUGUUAUCUAGUUGUGAGAAACUCAUAUCCUCCUGAUUUACUUGUGUUUUCUGCCCCUGUUCUCUCAUUUAACUGGCUGCAACACCUGUUUCCUCUAUAACCUUACAUGUCCAUGUGUUAUGACCUUGCUCACCACAGAAUGAGCAUUUACAGAUUUGACCAAAUCUCCUCACCUUCUUGCCUGGUCCUUUGUUUGCUGUAUCUCAUCACCAGAUUUUCUUCUUUGUUUCUUUGGUCUUCCUGGUACUCUUCCAUAAGUUGGUGGCAGGGAUGGCUGAACAUCUAUAUCUUCCCACUCAUGCGCUCUAUUCACAGGUAAAAUGCAAGGGUCAUAACACUUAAGAUACUUUUCAACACUGUAACAGUCAUCAAUAUACUGCAUAGGAGCCUUCAUAGCAAUCCACAAAGCUGAAAUUGCAUGAGCACAUGGUAUCUCUGUCAAAUCCCAUUUCCUGCAUGAGCAAGUCCUAUCCUCAAUAUUGACUGCCCACUUUUCACCAUAAGGACAAGCAACUUCAAAACUGACAUCGUUUGAUUUGUAAGGCACACAGUAAGUUACCUUGUCAAUAUUGACCUUCAUCAUUUUCUAAUUUUUGGAUAGAAACAAAAUUUACUCCACUUUUUCCUACCUCUAUCUCUAUUUUCUUGCAUUCUUUGCAUGACAAAAUGCUUCAAUGCCUCCAUCAUGACAACAAUGGACCAUUCCCUGUCAUCUAAUAUUUUGCUGUUAAAUGAUUCAUAUAUGUUAUCCAACAACAUAUCACAUUUAGGGAAUGUUCUGAAGUGUGAUCUACUUCACUCUGCUGGAUUCUUGUCCUCUAACCACUUAAUUGCUUCAAUAUCCAGUUCUGUUAUGGUUUCCAUUUUUCUUAUGAAUUGUGCAUAAGUAGUUGCCUUAGCUGCUUUCCAUAAGGCUUGCCUCAUAGCUGUCCCUUUGAAUCCAGCAGCUACCAUAUUGCUAUGCAUAUGUUUCAUACAAAAUCUAUUAUCAGCCCCUGAAAAAACUGAAUCACAUGCUUGAAUUAUGCCCUUCUGCUUGUUACUUAUUAUGGUCCAUUCAUAGUCUUUUUCAAUUUUUAGAUCCUCCUUAAGUAAAAUAAGAAACUAAAUCCAGGAAUCCUUAGUUUCUCCCUCAGUUGCUGCAUAAGUAAUUGGAUACAAACCAUUAUUUUGAUCAAUUUCAACUGCUAUCAGUAAUACUCCACUAGCCACACCUUUGAGGAAAGUCUCAUCUAACCCAAACACAGGCUUGCAAGCAUUUAAAAAUUCUUUUUUCACCCCAACAAAGCACAUGUACAAGCUUUGAAAUUUUUCUUAUUUGGUGACUAAAUCACAGUAGUUUUCUGCCACAUUCAUUACUACAGUACUACCUGGGUUACUUCUCAAGAUUUCCUUGAUAUAUUUGGGCAACUUAUUAUACUGGUCCAUAUCACUACUUUGGGCCAAUUUCCUGCCAAUUAUUUUAGCUCUAUAGCCUUGAUGUCUACUCAAAUAGCACUUGUUCUCUUUCAUUACCAGAUUUUUGAAGCUAGCAUAAUCUAUCUUGGGAUUCUCCCUAAAUGUGUUAAAAUAUUUUCUGUUAACCCACCCAGAUUUUACACUCUUGUUAUGAUAUGAAAACCCAUACUUGUGUUUCUGCUGGAAUGUUCUAACUUCUAAUCUGCCAUCACCUUUCAUCUUCCUAGCAUAUAUCUAUCCGUCACAUUUUUUUUUAGGACAAAUUGCCCUGCAUCUAAUGGUGUUACUCUUGGUAAAUUUAAAUGGUCUAUCCCGCUUGAUAUUUCAGGUUCUAACUGCCUCUUUAAACUUCUUGAAUGUGGUAAAUACCUGCCUAAUUUUAAGGUUGGGGUUAUCUGCAUCCUUGGGGUCAUACAUAGGGGGUCUUGAAUAACCCUCUUCAUCUGAACCUGAAUCUGGUGCAACAUCUAUGUCGGAAUUGUCAUCAUCAAUAUCAGAAUUAUUCACUGUUUGUCCCCUAAUUUCCUCUACAUAUUCCUUUUUUUUUCAUUCCUUUUAAACUACUCUUUCCUGUGAUUUUCUACCCCUAACUAUUCUAAAUUAUGAUCAACAUUUUCUUCAUAGUCAUUGUCAUCAGAAAUUUGCUCAUAAUCAGAAUAUUUUCUUGAGAAUUCUCUAGAAUCAGAACCCUCUAUAUAUUCAUCAUUUUUAUCUUCUAAUACAAAAUCUUCAUCAUCAACAUCAAACCCCCACUAUGAUGCCAAUAACUCACUAAAAGAAACAUUUAUGUACAAAUCAACUACCCUUCCAUACUCAAAUUGAUUAACACAAUAGACAUGCAAUUCUCUAUCUUGACUUUCUAACAUUCAAUCUAUUUAAAAAAGGCUUAUACCUGUGACCUCUAAUGAUCAAACACCUUUAAUUCACCUCCCUUAUAAUGAACAUCAGGUUCAGUUUUACAUUUUCCCCCUAAGUGACACUUCAUAGUCACUUCCGUGCUAUCACUGUCUACAUUUAAAAAAAUAACAAACAAACAACACAGACCAUAAUUUAGAUGACAGAAAUAGUAAAACUAGCAAACCGACAAUAAAAAAUGCAUACUUUAGCAAAGAUUCAAAGACAAUGACCAUCAAUUGCAGUAAAAUAAGCCCCACUUGUACAGUAUGAACCAGCAUGAUAAGAUCCUGUUUAGAGACACACAUGGGACCACAUCACAAAUGACAAAUUUUUUUAGGACUUUUUUCAAUAUUGGUCGUUAAUAAAGCCUUCAUUACAGAUUUUUUGUCCCCCCAAGUACCAAAAACAUCUUUUCCACUAUAUUCUAACAUUAUAGUUGGCGAUUGUGCAUAUAUAUCACAAAAAGAAGGCAAAAUCACAUACCAUAAUUAGGUGCUGCCAGCUUGUUCAUUUCCUUAGGUCUCACUGUCAUUUCUGCUUUGCAAUGCCACGAGCAGCUUCAGCUUGACUGAAUUCAGCAAGAUUUUUUCGGAUUUUUUCACGUUUUGAUUCUUGAUUUUGGCUCUUAGGGUUCGUUGUUCUUUUGCUGAAGAGAAGAACCCAGGUUGAGAA
rnacentral:lncRNA from 1 species